CUGCCACUGCCAAUCACCCUCUUCUCUGAGCACCGUAGCACUGCUGGGAUGGGCAUGUUCAAGGCUGCAUCGCACUUUGCCUUUCGAUGGAAUCAAUGAGCCUGGCUCCUCUGCUGUAGACGGAUCUCAGGAUUUAGCAGGCCAGAAGAUAAACAGAGAUGCUUGUUGGGCAGCAAUGGUCCAGAAGUGUUUUAAUGAACUAAGAAGACUUUCCAGAUGGCUGUGUUUGAUGCUGCCAACUCUACCAGAUGGAGAGGGUUCCCUCACCUGUACUAAAUCUGUGCCUCUCUCCAGUUGUUUCCUGUCAAGCUUGGAUUCCUGAAUGAGAUAACACUGGAAGUGGCUGAGUUAAAUGAACAUUUGUUAUUUCCAAUUAUGACUUAAUCCCUGGUUAUGAUUUAUAUCCGGUUUUAUCCUUAAUCCCUUUCUGCUCAUUUACCUUAGUGAAUCAGGUCAAAUCAUUUAUAAACUCAAUAUUUCUCUCCCAUUUUCCUUUAUUUUAGCCAGAGGCCUAAGCCAGAACUAGCUUAGGUAUGAGAAGCUGGUCCCUGGGGUUGCUUUUCCCUGGGCUUCUCUUCGGUGCUGCAUAUUCCUCUGGAUAAAAACAACUCCCAAAAUGAUGGCUCAGCCAAUGCUGUUUUAUAGUCUAGAGUCAGAAGUGAAAAGAGAGUUCCCUGGAGCUAUCUGUCAUCCAUUUUCCCUUCCCAUCAGAGUCUCUAUUGCCAGGUCUCGAAGAAGGGUAUGUGGACCCUCCACUAAACCCAUGUAAAGCUCCUCCCUGAGUUGAGGAAAGGGAGUGUGCAAAUGCCUUCCCAAUUUGGGGUCAGUUGGAACAGUUUCUGCAAGGGCAAUUAUCUUCUCCUCCAUAAAGAACCAAUGUGUGUUUCCUCUAGAAAUUCCCCUCCUCAUAACUCAAGCAAGA
rnacentral:lncRNA from 1 species